ACCUGAUAUCUGAAAUGAGAAAUUCAAUAUUAGUUUUUAAUAUACUUAAAAUAUAUUAUAAAAUAAUAUGCACUUUUCUCAUAAGUAAGACAUUGCGAUCCAUUAAUUUUAUAUAAUUUUUAUUUUUAAAAUUAUAUAUUUAUCAUACGGCCUAUUAUAUCGUUCAUUAUAUAAUAUUAUUUUAUAAUAUUUAAUAUAAGGAAUUUUAUAGUGUUCCAGAUAAAUAAUUGAUGGUUUUUAAAAAUCAUAUAAACAUUAAAUUUAUAAUGUAUAUAUUUUUAUAAUAUAAUAUAUGUAUUUGAUCAGCAAUGCGUAUGAUUUAGGAUACCUUCGGGACCCGUCUUGAAACACGGACCAAGGAGUCUAACAUGUGUGCAAGUCAUUGGGUUUUUAUUCUAUAUUAGAAUAUAUUUUAUAUAUUAAACCUAAAGGCAUAAUUAACGUAACUAUAUUUAUUUUAUGGGAUUACAAAUAGUUAAAAUAAAUUAUUUUUUCAUCUCAGGGCGUUUUAUAUUGAACAUGUUAGUAUUUAUAUUGACCUCUGUUCAAAAGCGUACCUUAAGCAUACAUGCUGUGACCCGAAAGAUG
rnacentral:rRNA from 1 species